UACGAAGGGGGCUAGCGUUGCUCGGAAUCACUGGGCGUAAAGCGCACGUAGGCGGCUUUCUAAGUCAGGGGUGAAAUCCUGGAGCUCAACUCCAGAACUGCCUUUGAUACUGGAGAGCUUAAGUCCGGAAGAGGUGAGUGGAACUCCGAGUGUAGAGGUGAAAUUCGUAGAUAUUCGGAAGAACACCAGUGGCGAAGGCGGCUCACUGGUCCGGUACUGACGCUGAUGUGCGAAAGCGUGGGGAGCAAACAGG
rnacentral:rRNA from 1 species